rnacentral:rRNA from 1 species
GACGAACGCUGGCGGCGUGCUUAACACAUGCCAGUCGAACGGAAAGGCCCUGCUUUUGUGGGGUGCUCGAGUGGCGAACGGGUGAGUAACACGUGAGUAACCUGCCCUUGACUUUGGGAUAACUUCAGGAAACUGGGGCUAAUACCGGAUAGGAGCUCCUGCUGCAUGGUGGGGGUUGGAAAGUUUCGGCGGUUGGGGAUGGACUCGCGGCUUAUCAGCUUGUUGGUGGGGUAGUGGCUUACCAAGGCUUUGACGGGUAGCCGGCCUGAGAGGGUGACCGGCCACAUUGGGACUGAGAUACGGCCCAGACUCCUACGGGAGGCAGCAGUGGGGAAUAUUGCACAAUGGGCGGAAGCCGGAUGCAGCAACGCCGCGUGCGGGAUGACGGCCUUCGGGUGGGAAACCGCUUUCGCCUGUGACGAAGCGUGAGUGACGGUAAUGGGGAAAGAAGCACCGGCUAACUACGU